GAUGAAGAACGUAGUGAAAUGCGAUAAGUAAUGUGAAUUGCAGAAUUCAGUGAAUCAUCGAAUCUUUGAACGCACAUUGCGCCCCUGGUAUUCCGGGGGGCAUGCCUGUUCGAGCGUCAUUUCACCACUCAAGCCUCGCUUGGUAUUGGGCAACGCGGUCCGCCGCGUGCCUCAAAUCGACCGGCUGGGUCUUCUGUCCCCUAAGCGUUGUGGAAACUUUCGCUAAAGGGUGUUCGGGAGGCUACGCCGUAAAACAACCCCAUUUCUAAGGUUGACCUCGGAUCAGGUAGGGAUACCCGCUGAACUUAAGCAUAUCAAUAAGCGGAGGA
rnacentral:misc_RNA from 1 species